GUUUGCACAUAAUGAUGUAGUUUUUAUACAUAACUUAAUAGGUAUUUGCACAUAACGCAAUAGGUGUUUGCACAUAAGGUAAACCAUGUUUGCACAUAGGGUGAACGAUGUUUGCACAUAAGGUAAACGAGGUUUGCACAAAACGUAUAAGUUGUUUGCACAUAAUGUAAAAGUCAUUUGCACAUGACGUAAUGAAUGCUCACAGAGAGUAUCAACUGUACGGCAAAACGCAUAUGAAUUAUACCAUGAUGUAUUAUGUUUUUCACUGGAGAUACAUAUGUAUAAACACAACAUAACGC
rnacentral:lncRNA from 1 species